rnacentral:rRNA from 1 species
GACGAACGCUGGCGGCGUGCCUAAUACAUGCAAGUCGAACGCACUCUCGUUUAGAUUGAAGGAGUUUGCUCCUGAUUGAUAAACAUUUGAGUGAGUGGCGGACGGGUGAGUAACACGUGGGUAACCUGCCCUAAAGUGGGGGAUAACAUUUGGAAACAGAUGCUAAUACCGCAUAAAACCUAACACCGCAUGGUGUAGGGUUGAAAGAUGGUUUCGGCUAUCACUUUAGGAUGGACCCGCGGUGCAUUAGUUAGUUGGUGAGGUAAAGGCUCACCAAGACCGUGAUGCAUAGCCGACCUGAGAGGGUAAUCGGCCACACUGGGACUGAGACACGGCCCAGACUCCUACGGGAGGCAGCAGUAGGGAAUCUUCCACAAUGGACGAAAGUCUGAUGGAGCAACGCCGCGUGAGUGAAGAAGGUUUUCGGAUCGUAAAACUCUGUUGUUGGAGAAGAAUGUAUCUGAUAGUAACUGAUCAGGUAGUGACGGUAUCCAACCAGAAAGCCACCGCUAACUACGUG